AUAAAAUUACCCUGGAAAUGUGCUUCUGUAAUCUGGUGUGUAUUGGCAAGAAUAGAAAAAUAAAGAGCAGAUUGUAGGAUCAGACUGACAAAUGGUACCAUUGGAGGAGAGGGGAAGAAGGUAUCUCUGGAUCCAAGAUACUAAGCAGGCUCAUGAAUCAAGGCUGACGAAUAUCUCUGCAGGAAGUCUCAGCACAGAAACCAAGGACUACAAAGACAGAAGUCUACCCUUUUACACUGGGCUGCUCUUAUUGUUUUCAACUGCUUUGUGCUUUCCCUGAAGGGAGAAGAGAAUCAGACAAUUACAAAACCCAGAAUUGCCAGUAUUUAGAAGGGCAAUGGGAAGAUAGACCAUUAACAGAAGAUUAAUGGAGCCUUGAAUUGAUUCAUUUGUUCUGGAUAUCAAUUCAGAAUUAUUCAAGAAAAGUUAAGUAAACUCUUUAUAUACUUUGAUCCAGCAAUCUCACACUGGUUCAAUGGCAGGAAUGAAGUUUCAAUAUCACAUAUUCAUAACAGGACAUUUUUGGUAGCAAAGAACUGUAAAUCAAGUGGAUGUUUGUUAAUUUGAAAAUAGCAGACUAUAAAUGUGUACUUGGAUACAGUAAUUAAUAAUAAUUAAUUCAGACUAUUCAUAAUACUGAACCUGAAAUUUGAAUAUUUUGCCUACAUAAUGAGAAGACAAGCUGUUUUGGAAAAGACUUUCAUGCUGGGAAAGAUCGAAGGCAAAGGGAGAAGGGGAUGGCAGAGGAUCAGAUACCUAGAUAGUAUCAUGGAAGCAAUGAAUAUGAGCUGGACAGACUGGGAGUUAGUGAAAGCCUGAUGUGCUGUGGUCCAUGAGAUCAUGAAGAGUUGGAUGCAACUAAACCAUGAAACUACAACUGGGAUAAGGACAGACAACAAUUCUCCAAUAUCUAUAUACUUAAACAGCUGGAGAGAACUCAGUCCCUUCCAUUUCCUAAGUGAGAUAAAAGAGAACUUACUUGAGAGAUUAUAAAAUGGCAUGUGAGAAGAUGAGAGAGGUCUCCAGAAGAUAGGCACUAUGUCGCCCCAUGAUACCACUUCUUCACAUACUGCAGCUACCAUGAGCAUACUGGCGGAAGGGAAAUUGUCAGGAUAGUAAGAAAAAGGAUGUGGAAGCUCAUGGAAGAGAGGCAGUAUGUCUAUUGCUGAGGACAAAAUUUGGGACAUUCUCCUUUUUGCCCCUUGCUUUAUACCCACUCUUUAAUGUCUCCUGGGAGAACGUCAAAUUUAUAUCCCCAUAUUGUUAUGCAUUUGUUUCACUUUUUAUCUUGACAAUUGUUUGAAAAGUAACUGGUUUCCCUAACUCUUCCAAGCCACUUUUUAAACUACUGAUUUGUGCUCUUGAUUUAGGCCCUUGGGGGGAUGGGUGGGUAGUAUUAAAUAUAGCCUGGAGGGAAGCUGUGCUCAACUAGGUAUGGGAAGGGAUAAUCUAUAGAUUCUGUUAUUGUAUUGCUAAGUUCCCUUGGUACAAGUUAAGACCUCAGUGCAACAAAAGAGAUUAUAUUCACACAUUUUUAUAGCUUCCCUAAAGCUAAGAGAAUACCAUAUUUUAUAACUAAAGAAGAUUUUUUGGAGUAGCUAAAUGGUACAGUGGAUAGAGAACCGGCUCAGAGUUAGGAACUCAGAUACUUGGCAUCUACACGGUGAACCUGCACAAGUCUCUCUCUCUCUCUCUCUCUCUCUCUCUCUCUCUCUCUCACACACA